rnacentral:rRNA from 1 species
CAACAGGGAUUGCCCUAGUAACGGCGAGUGAAGCGGCAACAGCUCAAAUUUGAAAUCUGGCUCUUUUAGGGUCCGAGUUGUAACUUGCAGAGGGCGCUUUGGCGUUGGCAGCGGUCCAAGCUCUUUGGAACAGGACGUCACAGAGGGCGAGAAUCCCGUACGUGGUCGCUAGCCUUCGCCGUGUAAAGCCCCUUCGACGAGUCGAGUUGUUUGGGAAUGCAGCUCUAAAUGGGAGGUAAAUUUCUUCUAAAGCUAAAUACUGGCCAGAGACCGAUAGCGCACAAGUAGAGUGAUCGAAAGAUGAAAAGCACUUUGGAAAGAGAGUCAAAUAGCACGUGAAAUUGUUGAAAGGGAAGCGCUU